rnacentral:lncRNA from 1 species
AGAGCAGAGGAGGCGAGGCCGCGUGCCAGUCGGUUGUCCAGGCGAGGGUCUGGCGACCAUCAUGCCCCUGCGUCAGAGGAGUGAGCUC